rnacentral:rRNA from 1 species
GUGGGGAAUCUUCCGCAAUGGGCGAAAGCCUGACGGAGCAACGCCGCGUGAGUGAAGACGGCCUUCGGGUUGUAAAGCUCUGUUAUAUGGGACGAACGGGUGUAUGGUCAAUACCCAUACGCCGUGACGGUACCGUAAGAGAAAGCCACGGCUAACUACGUGCCAGCAGCCGCGGUAAUACGUAGGUGGCAAGCGUUGUCCGGAAUCAUUGGGCGUAAAGGGCGCGCAGGCGGUUCGGUAAGUCGGUCUUAAAAGUGCGGGGCUUAACCCCGUGGUGGGAUUGAAACUGCCGGACUGGAGUGUCGGAGAGGAAAGCAGAAUUCCUAGUGUAGCGGUGAAAUGCGUAGAUAUUAGGAGGAAUACCAGUGGCGAAAGCGGCUUUCUGGACGACAACUGACGCUGAGGCGCGAAAGCCAGGGGAGCAAACGGGAUUAGAAACCCCAGUAGUCC